rfam:Camelus ferus unplaced genomic scaffold scaffold1558, whole genome shotgun sequence.
GAGGGUAUAGAUCAGUGGUAGAGUGUGGACUUAGCAUGCUUGAGGUCCUAGGUUCAAUCCCUAGUACCUCCA